UUGAUGUCCCUCCAUUAGGGUUCCAUUGCCUGGGUCCGAGGCUUUACUCUCUGCUAAAAUGUGGAUGCUUCUGGGAGAGGGAAUUUUGUGCCAGUUGCACAAGCAUUUUCUAGUGGCUUUUUCAGUGCAGAGGCCUCACCUGCACGCCUAAACAGUCUCCCUUCUUUAGUAGAGCAGAUGGAUGCCUGCACGAUGCUAGGAAUGCUGGUGAGCUGGUGUCCAGAGCCUCCUGUGAAGGCAUUGUUCACAUUCUUCCCUGAGAUGAGGUUUCCACCGGGGAAGGAUGCCCAAGGCCAUGGAUUCCUAAGAGCCCUGGGAGGGAGGUCCCUGCAGGAGAAGGAUGGGAAAAGGAGCAGAAGGAAGAGCCCUUUAUGGUUUCCAAAUCACAGAGGAGGAAGCUGAAGCCCAGAGAAGUUAGCCCCUGGGUAGAAAGAGCAUCUGGGAACUGAGAGCCAGAUAAUGGCUUGAGGACUUCCUCCCUGCCUUCCCUGGACCCAAUCCAGGUUUUGCUGGACAGUAGAGCAAUAUGGCCUCUGAAUCGUCGAGCUUGAAGAUGUUCCACCUGGGCCUGAGCUUCAGGCCCCAGUUCCUGCUCUGAGUCUGGAGACAAAUGGUGCUGCCCCCUGCAGGCAGCUGUAACCAGGGCUGCUGCGGUAAGUCAGCCAAACUGCAUGCUGGGAGCAGGAAGAAGGGCGUGGUGGACCAGUCCCAUUUUUCCAGGCUUUGAUAAUUCCAGAUAAGGCUUACACUAUUAGUGAACUCCCAUAUCAUACUUUCAAAAACCUUGCAGAAAUAGAGGACCAAACUAUGGCUGCAUGAAAUAUCUUGAAUUCAGAAGCAUUAUACUAAAUGCAAAAAAAAAAAGACAGAAAUGGAAGGACGGAGAUCAGAGCACGGGUGGCCAGAGGCUGGAGGGAGGGCAGCAGAUCGAUGCCCUAGAGCAGGAGAGAACUAUUUAAGGUGAAGGAGCCAUUCUGCAUGACAAUGGU